rnacentral:rRNA from 1 species
GUGAGGAAUUUUCCGCAAUGGGCGAAAGCCUGACGGAGCAAUGCCGCGUGAAGGAUGAAGGCCUAUGGGUUGUAAACUUCUUUUCUCAGAAAAGAAUUAUGACGGUAUCUGAGGAAUAAGCAUCGGCUAACUCUGUGCCAGCAGCCGCGGUAAGACAGAGGAUGCAAGCGUUAUCCGGAAUGAUUGGGCGUAAAGCGUCUGUAGGUUGUUUAAAAAGUAUUCUGUCAAAGAUUAGGGCUUAACCCUAGAUAGGCAGAGUAAACUUUUAAGCUAGAGUUUGGUAGAGGCAGAGGGAAUUCCCGGUGGAGCGGUGAAAUGCGUAGAUAUCGGGAGGAACACCAAAGGCGAAGGCACUCUGCUGGGCCAAUACUAACACUGAGAGACGAAAGCGAGGGGAGCAAAUGGGAUUAGAAACCCGGGUAGUCC